GAUGAACGCUGGCGGCGUGCUUAACACAUGCAAGUCGAACGAAGCAUUUAAGACGGAUUCUUUCGGGAUGAAGACUUUUAUGACUGAGUGGCGGACGGGUGAGUAACGCGUGGGUAACCUGCCUCACACAGGGGGAUAGCAGUUGGAAACGGCUGAUAAUACCGCAUAAGCGCACAGUACCGCAUGGUACAGUGCGAAAAACUCCGGUGGUGUGAGAUGGACCCGCGUCUGAUUAGCUUGUUGGCAGGGUAACGGCCUACCAAGGCAACGAUCAGUAGCCGACCUGAGAGGGUGACCGGCCACAUUGGGACUGAGACACGGGCCCAGGACUCCUACGGGAGGCAGCAGU
rnacentral:rRNA from 1 species